GCCCGGAUGGCGGAAUUGGCAGACGCGCUACAUUCAGGGUGUAGUGUCCGUAAGGACGUGCAGGUUCGACUCCUGUUCCGGGCA
rnacentral:tRNA from 3 species